UACGGAGGGUGCAAGCGUUAUCCGGAUUCACUGGGUUUAAAGGGUGCGUAGGUGGGCAAGUAAGUCAGUGGUGAAAUCUCCGGGCUUAACCCGGAAACUGCCAUUGAUACUAUUUGUCUUGAAUACUGUGGAGGUCAGCGGAAUAUGUGAUGUAGCGGUGAAAUGCUUAGAUAUGACAUAGAACACCAAUUGCGAAGGCAGCUGGCUACACAAAUAUUGACACUGAGGCACGAAAGCGUGGGGAUCAAACAGG
rnacentral:rRNA from 1 species